rnacentral:rRNA from 1 species
CUUCGGGGUACUCGAGCGGCGAACGGGUGAGUAACACGUGAGCAACCUGCCCUAGGCUUUGGGAUAACCCCGGGAAACCGGGGCUAAUACCGAAUAUGACCUCCGAUCGCAUGGUUGGUGGUGGAAAGUUUUUCGGCCUGGGAUGGGCUCGCGGCCUAUCAGCUUGUUGGUGGGGUGAUGGCCUACCAAGGCGACGACGGGUAGCCGGCCUGAGAGGGCGACCGGCCACACUGGGACUGAGACACGGCCCAGACUCCUACGGGAGGCAGCAGUGGGGAAUAUUGCACAAUGGGCGGAAGCCUGAUGCAGCGACGCCGCGUGAGGGAUGACGGCCUUCGGGUUGUAAACCUCUUUCAGCAGGGACGAAGCGUAAGUGACGGUACCUGCAGAAGAAGCGCCGGCCAACUACGUGCCAGCAGCCGCGGUAAGACGUAGGGCGCGAGCGUUGUCCGGAUUUAUUGGGCGUAAAGAGCUCGUAGGCGGCUUGUCGCGUCGACCGUGAAAACCUGGGGGCUCAACCCCAGGCCUGCGGUCGAUACGGGCAGGCUAGAGUUCGGUAGGGGAGACUGGAAUUCCUGGUGUAGCGGUGAAAUGCGCAGAUAUCAGGAGGAACACCGGUGGCGAAGGCGGGUCUCUGGGCCGAUACUGACGCUGAGGAGCGAAAGCGUGGGGAGCGAACAGGAUUAGAUACCCUGGUAGUCCACGCUGUAAACGUUGGGCGCUAGGUGUGGGGGGCCUCUCC